CUUCAUCAAUGGUGAAGUCUUGGAAAGAUAGUACUGGUGUAAAGUUACUGGUGAAAGCAAAUUCACUAAUACGCAGCAGUGCAAAAAAUGCCAAAUAAAACGCAGUUGAAAACAUUGCCAAGUCAAGACAAAAUUAUAUUUAGAGCGGAAGGUUUCAAAAGAGUUAAUGAACUUCUGAUAUGUUGAAGCAGUAUUUUUAGAUACUGCUGCUUCGAGUAAACUUUCUACAUGUCGUUUAAGAGAGUUGUCAAUACCGGAGGUAUAUUGACUGGAAUCUUGUCUGCCUGAGGAGCCAAGGUUAUGAAUCUUUCCCACUGAAAUCGAGAAAUUGAAUCCGCGAUAGAGUUUUGAUAACCUUGAACAUGGAUAGUUUUAAUCUGAAUGUUAUGCCUAAUGCAACGCAAUAUCAAUGGCCUUAAAAGUGUCAUUACCCUUUCAGACUUGCUUGUUUGGGAAUUAAGAAUAUAAACCAAAGCAAUGUUGUUGGUAUUUAUCAAUAAUUUCUUUGCUGCAAAAUAAUCCGCCCAAACCCAAAUAGCCAACAGAAUCGGUACUAGUUCUAAAAAGGUGAAAUCUCUUCGAAUAUCUGGGCCCCAUGAUUCUGGCCAGGAAAUAACUGCCCAGUGAUUCUGAAAAA